UUUUCCUGACACAUCAUUUAGAUGGUCCCUAAUUUCAAGGAAAUGUAAAGAUGUUCCUUUCGCAGAAAUUACUAAAAAUGAUUUCUGCAGUACAUAGGAUAAUAUAUUACUGUCUUGGCAGUGCUUUAAUUUGGCUACAAAUGACUAACAGACAAAUAUCUUUACACAUGUGUAGUGAUAAAUUUAGCUUUAUUGUGAAGUAUGGGUGGAAUAAUUGUGAUAAAUUUAGCUCUUGUUUUGCUUUUGUGUCCCAAAUAUAUUGUGGUAUGGCCUCUUCCACCGAACAAAGUCUUUUAAAAAUCAAAGACAGUCUUUUUUGUUUGUUUGUCACUCAUUGCCACAAAUUUGACCUAAUUCUUUUUUUAAAAUCUUUUUAUUUUUUAAUUUUUUUUUUGAGACGGAGCCUCGCUCUGUCGUCCAGGCUGGAGUGCAGUGGCGUGAUCUCGGCUCACUGCAGGCUCCGCCUCGCGGGUUCACGCCAUUCUCCUGCCUCAGCCUCCUGAGUAGCUGGGACUACAGGCACCUGCCACCAGGCCCAGCUACUUUUUUGUAUUUUUAGUAGAGAUGGGGUUUCACCGUGUUAGCCAGGAUGGUCUCGAUCUCCUGACCUCAUGAUCCACCCGCUUCGGCCUCCCAAAGUGCUGGGAUUACAGGCGUGAGCCACCGCACCUGGAGACCUCGUAAUUCUUUAUGUUUUUCAGUUUUCUUCCUUUGUCUUCCUCUUCCCUCAGCUUCAGCUUUGUAAAUGCUUUUGAGUCUUUGAGGGGAAUAGUUAAAUGAAUUGCUUAGUGUUCUCUUUAUGGAAGUAGCCAUUAAGUUUUUUGUUUGUUUUUAUGAUAAUGAUGACUUCCUAUUACUAACAUUCUAACGCUAGACAUGGAUUCCUCUAGGAAUGUACUGGCAUUUUGGCUGUCUACCCAGCUGUUGCUUCCAUUUGCCUAUUCCUUGAGUGUAAGGCAAUUAAUAACUUACACUUGUCUUUAUGUUCCAGCCUGAAAGAAUAGACCCAAGCGCAUCACGACAAGGAUAUGAUGUCCGCUCUGAUGUCUGGAGUUUGGGGAUCACAUUGUAUGAGUUGGCCACGGGCCGAUUUCCUUAUCCAAAGUGGAAUAGUGUAUUUGAUCAACUAACACAAGUCGUGAAAGGAGAUCCUCCGCAGCUGAGUAAUUCUGAGGAAAGGGAAUUCUCCCCGAGUUUCAUCAACUUUGUCAACUUGUGCCUUACGAAGGAUGAAUCCAAAAGGCCAAAGUAUAAAGAGCUUCUGAAACAUCCCUUUAUUUUGAUGUAUGAAGAACGUGCCGUUGAGGUCGCAUGCUAUGUUUGUAAAAUCCUGGAUCAAAUGCCAGCUACUCCCAGCUCUCCCAUGUAUGUCGAUUGAUAUCGCUGCUACAUCAGACUCUAGAAAAAAGGGCUGAGAGGAAGCAAGACGUAAAGAAUUUUCAUCCCGUAUCACAGUGUUUUUAUUGCUCGCCCAGACACCAUGUGCAAUAAGAUUGGUGUUCGUUUCCAUCAUGUCUGUAUACUCCUGUCACCUAGAACGUGCAUCCUUGUAAUACCUGAUUGAUCACACAGUGUUAGUGUUGGUCAGAGAGACCUCAUCCUGCUCUUUUGUGAUGAACAUAUUCAUGAAAUGUGGAAGUCAGUACGAUCAAGUUGUUGACUGUGAUUAGAUCACAUCUCAUUUCUAGACUCAAAACCUGGAGAUGCAGCUACUGGAAUGGUGUUUUGUCAGACUUCCAAAUCCUGGAAGGACACAGUGAUGGAUGUACUAUGUCUGAACAUAGAAACUCGGGCUUGAGUGAGAAGAGCUUGCACAGCCAACGAGACACAUUGCCUUCUGGAGCUGGGAGACAAAGGAGGAAUUUACUUUCUUCACCAAGUGCAAUAGAUUACUGAUGUGAUAUUCUGUUGCUUUACAGUUACAGUUGAUGUUUGGGGAUCGAUGUGCUCAGCCAAAUUUCCUGUUUGAAAUAUCAUGUUAAAUUAGAAUGAAUUUAUCUUUACCAAAAACCAUGUUGCGUUCAAAGAGGUGAACAUUAAAAUAUUGAGACAGGACAGAAUGUGUUCUUUUCUCCUUUACCAGUCCUACUUUUCAUUGGGAAGACUCAGGAGUCUGCCACUUGUCAAAGAAGGUGCUGAUCCUAAGAAUUUUUCAUUCUCAGAAUUCGGUGUGCUGCCAACUUGAUGUUCCACCUGCCACAAACCACCAGGACUGAAAGAAGAAAACAGUACAGAAGGCAAAGUUUACAGAUGUUUUUAAUUCUAGUAUUUUAUCUGGAACAACUUGUAGCAGCUAUAUAUUUCCCCUUGGUCCCAAGCCUGAUACUUUAGCCAUCAUAACUCACUAACAGGGAGAAGUAGCUAGUAGCAAUGUGCCUUGAUUGAUUAGAUAAAGAUUUCUAGUAGGCAGCAAAAGACCAAAUCUCAGUUGUUUGCUUCUUGCCAUCACUGGUCCAGGUCUUCAGUUUCCGAAUCUCUUUCCCUUCCCCUGUGGUCUGUUGUUGCUAUGUGACUUUCGCUUAAUCCAAUAUUUUGCCUUUUUUCUAUAUCAAAAAACCUUUACAGUUAGCAGGGAUGUUCCUUACCAAGGAUUUUUAGCCCCAAAUCUCUCAUAUUCGCUAGUGUUUAAAAGGCUAAGAAUAGUGGGGCCCAGCCGAUGUGGUAGGUGAUAAAGAGGCAUCUUUUCUAGAGACACAUUGGACCAGAUGAGGAUCUGAAACGGCAGCCUUUACGUUCAUCUCCUGCUGGAACCUCUCGUAGUCCACCACCAUUUCUUGGCAUUGGAAUUCUACUGGAAAAAAAUACAAAAAGCAAAACAAAACCCUCAGCACUGUUAAAAGAGGCCAUUUAAGUAUCUUGUGCUUCUUCACUUACCCAUUAGCCAGGUUCUUAUUAGGUUUUGCUUGGGCUUCCCUGGCACUGAACCUUAGGCUUUGUAUGACAGUGAAGCAGCACUGGGAGUGGUUCAAGCACACUGGAAUAUAAAACAGUCAUGGCCUGAGAUGCAGGUGAUGCCAUUAGAGAACCAAAUCAUGGCAGGUAUUGCUGUAUCUCCUCUCAGAGUGACAGUCAUAAAUACUAUCAAACAAUAAAGGGAGAAUGGUGCUGUUUAAAGUCACAUCCCUGUAAAUUGCAGAAUUCAAAAGUGAUUAUCUCUUUGAUCUACUUGCCUCAUUUCCCUAUCUUCUCCCCCACGGUAUCCUAAACUUUAGACUUCCCACUGUUCUGAAAGGAGACAUUGCUUUAUGUCUCCCUUCGACUACAGCAAGCCAUCAUCCUCCAUUGCUCCCGGGGACUCAAGAGGAAUCUGUUUCUCUGCUGUCAACUUCCCGUCUGGCUCAGCAUAGGGUCACUUUGCCGUUAUGCAAAUGGAGAUAAAAGCAAUUCUGACUGUCCAGGAGCUAAUCUGACCGUUCUAUUGUGUGGAUGACCACAUAAAAAGGCAAUUUUAGUGUAUUAAUCAUAGAUUAUUAUAAACUAUAAACUUAAGGGCAAGGAGUUUAUUACAGUGUAUCUUUAUUAAAACAAAAGGGUGUAUAGUGUUCACAAACUGUGAAAAUAGUGUAAGAACUGUACAUUGUGAGCUCUGGUUAUUUUUCUCUUGUACCAUAGAAAAAUGUAUAAAAAUUAUCAAAAAGCUAAUGUGCAGGGAUAUUGCCUUAUUUGUCUGUAAAAAAUGGAGCUCAGUAACAUAACUGCUUCUUGGAGCUUUGGAAUAUUUUAUCCUGUAUUCUUGUUUGAAUUCCUCCUCUAUUUAAGAUAUAUACAUGGAAUCCAAGUGUUUAUGUGAUAGUUCUAUCCUUUUGCCUGCGGGUCAGUCGUAAUAAAUCUAGGAUGUGAUG
rnacentral:sRNA from 1 species